rnacentral:lncRNA from 10 species
GGGGGACGCUUCGUAGAGGAGGGGGUGUUUGAGCUGGGCCUUGAAGGUCAAAAGGGUUUUGUUAGGUGGGAAAUGGGGGAAGGACAGUCUGAAAGGGUUAGGUACAUUCAAGGAGCCCAGAGAAGGUUCGUGGCUGGAGCAGACGCAUUCGUAGAGUGAAGUCAUGGGAGAGAAGAGGCUGGGAAACUAGAUUGGUUCCAACUCCUAAAGGACCACUGAAGGAGUGUGGGCUGCACGCUGGGUGCAGCAGGUGAGUUUCCUCACUUGGGUUUCACUGUCAGCAUUUUAAAAAGGCAAACUGGUUUUCUUCCUGAGAAGAAUUCAUUGAUUCACUUGUGGCCAGUAAGUCAUCUGGGCCAGAGGUUGGUGGGGAGAUGAUAGGGGUGCAAGUGUCAUCUUCAAUCACAGCAUAACUGCCCUUGCUUUCUUACCUCUCGUUUAGAUAUUUCAAUGCUUGCUCAGGUCCCCUGCGCCCUCCUUCCUUCUCCCUUCCCAGCCAUACUACUUAUGGGAUGACUUUCUCUUUGUAAAAUGACCGUUAGUCUUAUCAAAUUAAUCCCAAAGUAAUACCAUCAAUUUCCCCCUAAAAUACCAACAAGACCCCUGCUUGAAACUGCUUGUACAUUAGAGACAGAGAAGAGUCCAUGAGAAUCAACAUUUUCUGAGGACUCCAACUGUGUGCCAAGAGAGUUCCCCUGCUGGUGCCUCCUCUGUAGUAAAGGAAAGGCUCCUGGGACCACAUUAUCAUUCUCUUCACUCGAGAGAUGAGGACACUGAAAUUCAGAGAGGGGAAGUGAUUUGCCUCAGCUUGUACUGUAAGUGAUCAAGGCAGGACUCAACCAGUCUUUUUGACCCUGACUAUGGUGAUUUGAUCUCUACACCACAAGAUGGUGGUGGAAUGGUG